UACGUAGGGACCGAGCGUUGUCCGGAUUCAUUGGGCGUAAAGAGCUCGUAGGCGGCUGUUCAAGUCGAACGUGAAAACUCGGAGCUCAACUCCGAGCCUGCGUUCGAUACUGGACGGCUAGAGUCUGGUAGGGGGAUCUGGAAUUCCUGGUGUAGCGGUGGAAUGCGCAGAUAUCAGGAGGAACACCGGUGGCGAAGGCGGGAUCCUGGACCGAUACUGACGCUGAGGAGCGAAAGCCAGGGGAGCAAACGGG
rnacentral:rRNA from 1 species